rnacentral:rRNA from 1 species
UACGUAGGGGACAAGCGUUGUCCGGAAUUAUUGGGCGUAAAGCGCGUGUAGGCGGCCAUGUAGGUCCGGUGUGAAAACUCGAGGCUUAACCUCGAGAUGUCAUCGGAAACCAUUUGGCUAGAGUCCGGAAGAGGAGAGUGGAAUUCCUGGUGUAGCGGUGAAAUGCGCAGAUAUCAGGAAGAACACCAAUGGCGAAAGCAGCUCUCUGGGACGGUACUGACGCUGAGACGCGAAAGCGUGGGGAGCGAACAGG